rnacentral:rRNA from 1 species
CGUGUAGGCGGUCAAGUAAGUGGAAUGUGAAAGCCCCCGGCUUACCCGGGGAUCUGCAUCCCAAACUGCUUGGCUUGAGUACGGGAGAGGAUGAGGGAAUUCCUGGUGUAGCGGUGAAAUGCGUAGAUAUCAGGAGGAACACCGGUGGCGAAGGCGCUCAUCUGGCCCGAUACUGACGCUGAGGCGCGAAAGCUAGGGGAGCAAACG